CAGGAUGAACGCUAGCGACAGGCUUAACACAUGCAAGUCGAGGGGUAACAGGGUAGCAAUACCGCUGACGACCGGCGCACGGGUGAGUAACGCGUAUGCAACCUGCCUAGUAACUGGGGGAAUAGCUCCCUGAAAGGGGAAUUAACACCGCAUAACACUAUUGAUUCGCAUGGAUUAGUAGUUAAAUGUAGCGAUACAGGUUAUAGAUGGGCAUGCGUGACAUUAGCUAGUUGGUGAGGUAACGGCUCACCAAGGCUACGAUGUCUAGGGGUUCUGAGAGGAAGGUCCCCCCACACUGGUACUGAGACACGGACCAGACUCCUACGGGAGGCAGCAGUGAGGAAUAUUGGUCAAUGGGCGCAAGCCUGAACCAGCCAUGUCGCGUGCAGGAAGACUGCCCUAUGGGUUGUAAACUGCUUUUAUAGUAGAAGAAACACAUCUACGUGUAGAUGUCUGCCAGUAUACUAUGAAUAAGCAUCGGCUAACUCCGUGCCAGCCGCAGC
rnacentral:rRNA from 1 species